rnacentral:tRNA from 1 species
UCUAAUAUGGCAGAUGAAAGUGCAAUGAAUUUAAGAUUCAUAUAUAAAAUGAUUUUUUGUUGGAA